rnacentral:rRNA from 1 species
UUCAAUUUAAUUUGAUUUUUAUAAAUUAUUAUUAAAAUUAAAAAAAAUAAUUUAUUUUUUAAUAUUUAUUAUGAAAAAAAAAUUAUAAUUAUAGAUUAUUAGUAUAGUGAUAGAAUUAUUAUAAAAGUUUAUAAGUAAAAUUAAUUUUUUGUACCUUGUGUAUCAGGGCUUAUUAAUUAAUAAUUAAUUAUUUAAUUUUCUCGAUUUUAUAAGAGUUAAUAUUAUAUUUAUUUUAUUGUAAAAUAAAUAUUUAAAAUAUAAUAUUAGUAAUGAAAUGUUAUUCGUUUAUAAAUAUAUCUAGUUUUUGAAGAAAAAAAUUUAAUUUUUUGUUAAAUUGAAUAAUAAUUUAAUUUUUUAAAUUUAUUAUAAUUUAAUUAAAAUAUUUUAAAGGAUAAGCUUUAAAAUAAAAAUUUAAAAAUUAAUAUUUAUUUUAUAAUUUAUAGGAUUAGAAAUUUUCAUUUUAGUAUGUUAUAAUUAAUUAUAAAAUUUUAAUUUUUAUAUUAAUUUUAAUUUUUUUAUUUAAAUAUUAUAUUUAAUUUUUUUAUAUAAGUAAUAAUGAUAAAAUUAGUAUAAUAUAAUGUAUUUUUAUUUUAUAGAUUUAGGUUAAAUAAAGGAAUUCGGCAAAUUUAUUUCUCGCCUGUUUAUUAAAAACAUGUCUUUUUGAUUAUAAUAUAAAGUCUAACCUGCCCACUGAUAUAUUUAAUGGCCGCAGUAUUUUGACUGUGCAAAGGUAGCAUAAUAAUUAGUUUUUUAAUUGGAAGCUAGAAUGAAUGGUUGGACGAGGAAAUAUCUGUCUCUAUUUAAUUUUAUUAAAAUUUAAUUUUUAAGUUAAAAAGCUUAAAUUUAUUUAAAAGACGAGAAGACCCUAUAGAGUUUUAUAUUAUUAUUAAAUAAAAUUUUUUGAAUUAAAUAUUUUAUUUAAAAAAUAAUAUUUUAUUGGGGUGAUAAAAAAAAAUAAUAAACUUUUUUUUUAAAAAAACAUUAAUUUAUGAAUUUUUGAUCCAUAAAAAUGAUUAUAAGAUUAAAUUACCUUAGGGAUAACAGCGUUAUUUCUUUAAAGAGUUCAAAUCGAAAAAGAAGUUUGCGACCUCGAUGUUGGAUUAAAAUAUAUUAUUGGUGUAGAAGCUAAUAUUUUAGGUCUGUUCGACCUUUAAAAUUUUACAUGAUCUGAGUUUAAACCGGUGUAAGCCAGGUUGGUUUCUAUCUUUAAUAAAAAGUUAUAUUUUAGUACGAAAGGACCAAAUAUAAGUAAAAUUUAUUUUAGAAGAAUUUUAUUAUUACUUUG